rnacentral:rRNA from 1 species
UUGACCUCGGAUCAGGUAGGGAUACCCGCUGAACUUAAGCAUAUCAAUAAGCGGAGGAAAAGAAACCAACAGGGAUUGCCUCAGUAACGGCGAGUGAAGCGGCAAGAGCUCAAAUUUGAAAGCUGGCCCCUUCGGGGUCCGCGUUGUAAUUUGCAG